ACGCUCGACACCUACUGGAGGCAGCAGUCGGGAAUAUUGCGCAAUGGAGGAAACUCUGACGCAGUGACGCCGCGUAUAGGAAGAAGGUUUUCGGAUUGUAAACUAUUGUCGUUAGGGAAGAGAAAGGACAGUACCUAAGGAGGAAGCUCCGGCUAACUACGUGCCAGCACGCCGACGGUAAUCUGAGGCCGGGCGUGGACGAAGGC
rnacentral:rRNA from 1 species